GCUCCCUUAGCUCAGCUGGAUAGAGCAGCCGACUUCUAAUCGGCAGGCCGAGGGUUCGAAUCCUUCAGGGAGCGCCA
rnacentral:tRNA from 10 species